rnacentral:rRNA from 1 species
GACUAACGCUGGCGGCGUGCCUAACACAUGCAAGUCGAACGAAGCAGCAAUGCUUAGUGGCAGACGGGUGAGUAACGCGUAGAUAAUGUGCCCUCUUGCGGGGGAUACCGUUUCGAAAGGAACGUUAAUACCGCAUAAAGUCCUUAGAAGGCAUCUUUUAGGGACCAAACUUCCGGGGCGGGAGGAGCAAUCUGCGUACUAUCAGCUAGUUGGUGAGGUAAUGGCUCACCAAGGCUACGACGGUUAACUGGUCUGAGAGGAUGAUCAGUCACACUGGAACUGAGACACGGUCCAGACUCCUACGGGAGGCAGCAGUGAGGAAUAUUGCACAAUGGGCGAAAGCCUGAUGCAGCGACGCCGCGUGGAGGAUGAAGGAUUUCGGUCUGUAAACUCCUGUCAGUAGGGAAGAGAAUGGACGGUACCUACUGAGGAGCUUCGGCUAACUACGUGCCAGCAGCCGCGGUAAGCUACGUGA